rnacentral:lncRNA from 1 species
UGCACCUCCUCAUUGUCUAGCAAAAAAACAACUCCCUUCGUUACUUACUUUUACCUUACUGAAGCAAAAGAGGGUAUCCAUUGUAAUUUCAUUCCUUAUACGAGUCUGCAUAAAAAAUGGGCCCUCACCAUGUCAGGUAAAGUGAUUCCCUCGGAUAAAUUUAAUCACAGAUCACAGAGAGCAUUAAUUAACCCUUCUGCACAUUGAGCUCUGAGAGCUCCCCUGUGCUAACCCAGGCAAGUUUGCUGCAGAGAAAUUGUCAUUAGUGACGAGUGGAGGCCAACCUUGUGCUUCUGGUGAAACAAGAAGGAUGGGCUGAGGCUAUGGAAUUUUCAUUUUGGGUUCAUUUCAAUAACAAAAUAAGGGAUGUUUUAUUUUUUUGCAUUGCUGCUUUGAAAACUGGCACUUUCAGAUUCUAUCUGGUUGCUUGUGGUUUUUUCUGAAAGCUAAAGAAUGGAAAAGGGAUUUGUUUGCAUUUAAAGGAGAGCUUGACAAAAAAGAGAAAUAUUGACUUAAUUUAGGUAGCAUUCCCAGUAAACAAGCUGGUAGGUUUUGUUUUUUUUUAAUAAUAAUUUACAUCCAUUCCUCUGCAGAGUGUACCCUGUGAAUUUCUUACCCAAGACAAAGUCCAUCAUUCUGCCUUGCAGGCUUUCUUGUAUGUAUUUCUGCCGUAUUUACCCAGAAAUGUGGGUCUAAGGAAGCAUCAUAUCAGCUGAAACCACCUAGGGUUUACACAGGUCAACAGACCUCCUGCUGCUGCCAUCCCUGCUUAACAUGGACCUCAGCAUUGCUCAGCCUCAGCUGUGCUCAUCUCCCACUUCACAUGCUGUCAAAUGACUUCUCCAGACGUUAAAAAAGAACAACAAAAGGA